rnacentral:snRNA from 2 species
AUACUUACCUGGCAGGGGAGACACCUUGAUCACGAAGGAGGUUGACCCAUGGUGCGGCUCGGCCAUUGCACUCCGGCCAUCGACUGUAUAAUUUGUGGUACUGGGGGACCUCGUCCGCACUCUCCCUUG